rnacentral:rRNA from 1 species
GUGGGGAAUUUUGGACAAUGGGCGAAAGCCUGAUCCAGCCAUGCCGCGUGUGUGAAGAAGGUCUUCGGAUUGUAAAGCACUUUAAGUUGGGAGGAAGGGCAGUAAGUUAAUACCUUGCUGUUUUGACGUUACCGACAGAAUAAGCACCGGCUAACUUCGUGCCAGCAGCCGCGGUAAUACGAAGGGUGCAAGCGUUAAUCGGAAUUACUGGGCGUAAAGCGCGCGUAGGUGGUUUUGUAAGUCGGAGGUGAAAUCCCCGGGCUCAACCUGGGAACUGCCUCCAAAAAUGCAUGACUAGAGUACGGUAGAGGGUAGUGGAAUUUCCUGUGUAGCGGUGAAAUGCGUAGAUAUAGGAAGGAACACCAGUGGCGAAGGCGACUACCUGGACUGAUACUGACACUGAGGUGCGAAAGCGUGGGGAGCAAACAGGAUUAGAAACCCCGGUAGUCC